AAAUAUGUAUUUUGAGUCGAUAUUAAAUCUUUUAUGAAGUUUCAAAUAUUAUAAAUAUUUGAACUUUAUAAGAAUUUAUAAGAAGUAUAAACAUUAUAAAUAUUUACAACAAAUACAAUUAUGUAAUACUAAUUUUAUUUUGAAGUCUUUAAACAUUAUAAUGUUCUUGGUCAACCAGUCCGAGUCUUUAAUCUUAAAUACUAAACAAAACAAAUACAACUUAAAAUUUAAUAUUUUUUCAAAAACGCAUCUCGAUUCUUUUAUAAGAAGUUUAAACAUUAUAAAUAUUUAAACUUUAUACUACGGGUGAAAUCCUAAAAUUGACGGUUUUGGAUUGAUAUUAUUACGGGAUAAUAUAGUACGGGUGAAAUCCUAGAAUUUACAAUCAAAUAAAAUUAACAAAACAAAUAUAACUUAAAAUUUUUAGUUAUAAAAUAUCAUUUCGCGAUGUACUAUACAUUUAAAUCAAACAAAACAACAUCAUAUAUCUAUAGAUCAUCUUAAAAAAAC
rnacentral:lncRNA from 1 species